GUGGGGAAUUUUGGACAAUGGGCGAAAGCCUGAUCCAGCCAUGCCGCGUGCAGGAUGAAGGCCUUCGGGUUGUAAACUGCUUUUGUACGGAACGAAACGGUCCGGGUUAAUACCCUGGGCUAAUGACGGUACCGUAAGAAUAAGCACCGGCUAACUACGUGCCAGCAGCCGCGGUAAUACGUAGGGUGCAAGCGUUAAUCGGAAUUACUGGGCGUAAAGCGCGCGUAGGUGGUUUUGUAAGUUGGAGGUGAAAUCCCCGGGCUCAACCUGGGAACUGCCUCCAAAACUGCAUGACUAGAGUACGGUAGAGGGUAGUGGAAUUUCCUGUGUAGCGGUGAAAUGCGUAGAUAUAGGAAGGAACACCAGUGGCGAAGGCGACUACCUGGACUGAUACUGACACUGAGGUGCGAAAGCGUGGGGAGCAAACAGGAUUAGAAACCCGUGUAGUCC
rnacentral:rRNA from 1 species